CAACAACGGAAAGGAGGUGAUCGAAUGUCUCAUUGUCACAAGCCGGUUACGGCACAGGGCGCGGGCAUGAUCGCUUCUGCGGGGCAUGCCGCCGCCUGACACACUGCCGGCCCCGGCCGACAAUGGAGAGGCCGUCCCGCGAGGGGCGGCCUC
rnacentral:sRNA from 1 species